rnacentral:rRNA from 1 species
UACGUAGGGUGCAAGCGUUAAUCGGAAUUACUGGGCGUAAAGCGUGCGCAGGCGGUUUUGUAAGUCAGAUGUGAAAUCCCCGGGCUUAACCUGGGAACUGCGUUUGAAACUACAAGGCUAGAGUGUGGCAGAGGGGGGUGGAAUUCCACGUGUAGCAGUGAAAUGCGUAGAGAUGUGGAGGAACACCGAUGGCGAAGGCAGCCCCCUGGUUUAACACUGACGCUCAGGCACGAAAGCGUGGGGAGCAAACAGG